AGAGUUUGAUCCUGGCUCAGGACGAACGCUGGCGGCGUGCUUAACACAUGCAAGUCGAGCGAGGCCCUCUUUCGGGGGGUGCCCUAGCGGCGAACGGGUGAGUAACACGUGGGCAACCUGCCCUCAGCUUCGGGAUAACUCCAAGAAAUUGGUGCUAAUACCGGAUGUGACCGCUGACCGCAUGGUCUGGUGGUGGAAAGAUUCAUCGGCUGGGGAUGGGCCCGCGGCCUAUCAGCUUGUUGGUGGGGUAACGGCCUACCAAGGCGACGACGGGUAGCCGGCCUGAGAGGGCGACCGGCCACACUGGGACUGAGACACGGCCCAGACUCCUACGGGAGGCAGCAGUGGGGAAUAUUGCGCAAUGGGCGAAAGCCUGACGCAGCGACGCCGCGUGAGGGAUGAAGGCCUUCGGGUUGUAAACCUCUUUCAGCAGGGACGAAGCGAAAGUGACGGUACCUGCAGAAGAAGCACCGGCCAACUACGUGCCAGCAGCCGCGGUAAUACGUAGGGUGCAAGCGUUGUCCGGAAUUAUUGGGCGUAAAGAGCUCGUAGGCGGUCUGUCGCGUCGGCUGUGAAAACUCGGGGCUCAACCCCGAGCCUGCAGUCGAUACGGGCAGACUAGAGUCCGGCAGGGGAGACUGGAAUUCCUGGUGUAGCGGUGAAAUGCGCAGAUAUCAGGAGGAACACCGGUGGCGAAGGCGGGUCUCUGGGCCGGAACUGACGCUGAGGAGCGAAAGCGUGGGGAGCGAACAGGAUUAGAUACCCUAGUAGUCC
rnacentral:rRNA from 1 species